CCUACGGGUGGCAGCAGUGAGGAAUAUUGGUCAAUGGACGCAAGUCUGAACCAGCCAUGCCGCGUGCAGGAAGACGGCUCUAUGAGUUGUAAACUGCUUUUGUACGAGGGUAAACGCAGAUACGCGUAUCUGUAUGAAAGUAUCGUACGAAUAAGGCUCGGCUAAAUCCGUGCCAGCAGCCGCGGUAAUAAGGAGGAUUCAAGCGUUAUCCGGAUUUAUUGGGUUUAAAGGGUGCGUUGGCGGUCGGAUAAGUUAGAGGUGAAAUCCCGAGGCUCAACUUCGGAAUUGCCUCUGAUACUGUUCGGCUAGAGUGUAGUUGAGGUAGGCGGAAUGUAUGGUGUAGCGGUGAAAUGCAUAGAGAUCACACAGAACGCCGAUUGCGAAGGCAGCAUACCAAGCUACUACUGACGUUGAGGCACGAAAGCGUGGGGAGCAAACAGGAUUAGAUACCCUAGUAGUC
rnacentral:rRNA from 1 species